rnacentral:rRNA from 1 species
AACGAACGCUGGCGGCAUGCCUAACACAUGCAAGUCGAACGAGACCUUCGGGUCUAGUGGCGCACGGGUGCGUAACGCGUGGGAACCUGCCCUUAGGUUCGGAAUAACUCCCCGAAAGGGGUGCUAAUACAGGAUAAUGUCUUCGGACCAAAGAUUUAUCGCCUUUGGAUGGGCCCGCGUUGGAUUAGCUAGUUGGUAGGGUAAAAGCCUACCAAGGCGACGAUGCAUAGCUGGUCUGAGAGGAUGAUCAGCCACACUGGGACUGAGACACGGCCCAGACUCCUACGGGAGGCAGCAGAGGGGAAUAUUGGACAAUGGGCGAAAGCCUGAUCCAGCAAUGACGCGUGAGUGAUGAAGGGCUUAGGGUUGUAAAGCUCUUUUACCCGGGAUGAUAAUGACAGUACCGGGAGAAUAAGCACCGGCUAACUCCGUG